rnacentral:rRNA from 1 species
AACGAACGCUGGCGGCAUGCCUAACACAUGCAAGUCGAACUAUGCUUUCGGGCAUAGUGGCGCACGGGUGCGUAACGCGUGGGAAUCUGCCCUUGGGUUCGGAAUAACAGUGAGAAAUUGCUGCUAAUACCGGGUGAUGUCUUCGGACCAAAGAUUUAUCGCCCAGGGAUGAGCCCGCGUAGGAUUAGCUAGUUGGUGGGGUAAUGGCCUACCAAGGCGACGAUCCUUAGCUGGUCUGAGAGGAUGAUCAGCCACACUGGGACUGAGACACGGCCCAGACUCCUACGGGAGGCAGCAGUGGGGAAUAUUGGACAAUGGGCGCAAGCCUGAUCCAGCAAUGCCGCGUGAGUGAUGAAGGCCUUAGGGUUGUAAAGCUCUUUUACCCGGGAUGAUAAUGACAGUACCGGGAGAAUAAGCUCCGGCUAACUCCGUG